GAUGAACGCUGGCGGCGUGCCUAAUACAUGCAAGUCGAGCGAACGGACGAGAAUCUUGCUUCUCUGAUGUUAGCGGCGGACGGGUGAGUAACACGUGGAUAACCUACCUAUAAGACUGGGAUAACUUCGGGAAACCGGAGCUAACACCGGAUAAUAUUUUGAACCGCAUGGUUCAACAGUGAAAAACGGUCUUGCUGUCACUUAUAGAUGGAUCCGCGCUGCAUUAGCUAGUUGGUAAGGUAACGGCUUACCAAGGCAACGAUGCAUAGCCGACCUGAGAGGGUGAUCGGCCACACUGGAACUGAGACACGGUCCAGACUCCUACGGGAGGCAGCAGUAGGGAAUCUUCCGCAAUGGGCGAAAGCCUGACGGAGCAAUGCCGCGUGAGUGAUGAAGGUCUUCGGAUCGUAAAGCUCUGUUAUUAGGGAAGAACAGAUGUGUAAGUAUCUGUGCACGUCUUGACGUUACCUAAUCAGAAAGCCACGGCUAACUACGUG
rnacentral:rRNA from 1 species